UCCUGGCUCAGGAUGAACGCUAGCGACAGGCCUAACACAUGUAAGUCGAGGGGCAGCGCGGGAAAGCUUGCUUUCCUGGCGGCGACCGGCGCACGGGUGCGUAACAGGUGUGCAAUCUGUCCAUAGUCGGGGGAUAGCCCAGCGAAAGCUGAAUUAAUACUCCAUGUGAAUCGAAGCCGCAUGACUUUGAUUUGAAACGCAAGGACUAUGGGUGAGCACGCUUCUGAUUAGAUAGUUGGUGGGGUAACGGCUCACCAAGUCGACGAUCAGUAGGGGUUCUGAGAGGAAGGUCCCCCCACAUUGGAACUGAGACACGGUCCAAACUCCUACGGGAGGCAGCAGUGAGGAAUAUUGGUCAAUGGGCGAGAGCCUGAACCAGCCAAGUCGCGUGAAGGAUGAAGGUUCUAUGGAUUGUAAACUUCUUUUGUCCGAGGGUAAAAAAGGCCACGUGUGGCUUCUUGCAAGUAUCGGACGAAUAAGCAUCGGCUAACUCCGUGCCAGCCGCAGC
rnacentral:rRNA from 1 species